rnacentral:misc_RNA from 1 species
GGCGGCUUCCGGUGCGCGAAAUGCCAGGGUUCGCGCGCCCCUGCGAGGGGGUCCGCGAAGAAGCGGAGGGGGCGCUGGCCGCGCCCAUCGAUCCGGGGCCGCCCAGGCGUCGCCGCAACAUCGGUCUCCUCCUCCGGCCGCUGCUCGGGCACCGGUGCGCCAAGGCUCGUGCUCAAAGAAGAACAAAGGCUUCGAGACGGAUCCCCCGAGCUGCAGCCGGUCGCCGGCCCUAGCAUGCGGCCCACUGUGAGGGGGCCCCCGUAUCCCGCUGCACGACGACGACAUUGCACCGGCGGUUGCCGCCAGGGAUGCUGCGAGGGGACGCGUCGUCGCCCGAGGCGGCAGGCGCGUCGUCUGCUGCCCUCGCAACGACGAGCCGCAGGCGCAGGGACGCAGCCGCCGCGGUCAGGACGCGCGGGGGCCGAGCCGCGUCGUCGCGCUGCAGCGACUCCGAAGAGGACGAGGAUGCGUGGUUGCGUGAGGACGACGGGUACGCGACGCCCCCGCGACUGCCGGGCCCGUCGUCGUCGUGUGACGUGUCGCGUGACGACUACGACGAGGACGACGAGGCGGGCCCCCAUCCUGCUCCGGCGCUUCCCCGCGAUCGACCGGCGGGAGCCGACGUGACGGGCGAGCGACGUCAGCGGCGCAUGCGUUGCUGCGAGCCGGUCGCGCCGAGCGCGGCCGCCGAUCGCCGCGGCGGCUCGUCGGGUCACGAGGCCGGGGCCGCUGCCGCCGCCGCCGCGGCUGGUCGCAGGGCCAUGCCGAGCGGCCUGAUGAAGCCGCUCGUGGUGCUCGCCUUCCCGGGCAUGUACCUCGUCUACAAGAUCACCGAGUUCAAGCGCCAGCAGCAGGAGCACAACCGGCGCAAGGUCACCGAGCGGGAGUUGGCGCACCUUAACCACAAGAUCGACAAGCUGCUCACGAAGCUGGAAGAGCAUGAGCCGGAGCUGGCUACGAGCCAAGAAGAAGAGUGCGUGGUCUGCGUGACGGCCAAGGCGAGCAUGCAGACAUUCCCGUGUGGCCACCGCGUCGUUUGCCGCAAGUGCUUCGUCAAGACCAUCCAGGUGGCCGUGUCGCAGCGCGUGCUGCCCCUGCGCUGCGUCAUUUGCCGCACCAAGAUCGUGCGCCUCAAGCACUCGUCGCACGGCCACGCUACACCUGUCACGCCGGGAGCACGGGCUCUGCUGGCACCUUGCGAAGCGCUGGGACAGACCCGGCCGGCCAACCCCUGGCCGCAGGACCUGCGCGUCCCCGUAGAGCCUCUUCCCGCCAGCCACUACCGGCACAGUGCCGAAGCGUGCCGCUUCCACAGGCACCGGAGCUCCUCCAGUGCCGGCACUUCCGCGCUAGCGUCGCCCGAGGCGGCCUCCUCGAGCACCAGCAUCUCCAUCGGCCGCCGCAUCUCCUCGCCGCAACCGACCAGUUCGGGGGCCUCGAGCCCAACGUCGAGCUGCCCCGCGAGCCCCGAGGACGCUCCCGAGGUGCCCAGAGGGCGCCGCAGCGGACUCACUCGGGCCGUCGUGCACCCGCCGCCCCCCGUUCGUUCGCCACCAACGCAGCCACCGAAGACCGCCUGCCCGCCACCGCCUUUGCCGGCGCGGAGCCCGAGGACCCCGGUUCCCGAAACUCCGAUCGGGACGCCAGAGAAAGAAGUGGCCGAGUCGAUGACGCCGCCACCGAAGACACCCGCCGCCGCGAAGACGAAGAGUCCGGUCGGAUCACCGAAAGAACGCUCCACUCCCGCGCCGACCAAGACGUCACCGGACCGGCCAGCUCCACCUAGGCUGCAACCUCCGCCGCCGGUCAGGUCACCGUCUUCGCCAACGGCGCCAUCGACGACGGCGAACAACACGGCGCUGUGCCCGGCAGCGUUGUCCAGCGUGGUGCUGGCCCCUCCUCCUGCCGAGGUACGCAGCCGCCGCGGUGGCCAGUACCGAGUGAGCCCGGCGGGCGGCGGCACGGCGCCGACGUCACUGCCGCUCACGGUGAGGCCGCCGCCGCCCAAGCCGCGGCCGCCGUCGCGCUUCGAGAGGUUCCGCGACAUGCACGUGCGGCGCCCCACGCUGCUGCUACCGAUCCCGGAGAAGGAAGAGUCCGAGGCGCUGCUCGAAGCGGCCUUCUGCCGCGUGGCGCCUGGUUCCUCCGACCUGCUUGUCAGCGCGUCGUCGCCCAAGAUCGUGCUCCAGGACCGAGCGCCUUUGCUCCAGCCGGAUUCACCGGACCGUCGCCGGACUUCGCUGCGCAGUCAGCUGCGUUCCAAGAUGGCGGGCUUCCCGAGUCUGCUGGGAUCGCCGCUGAGGGCGCUGCGAGCCGGCGCACGCCAUAGGCGCGUGCCAGACGUAAACUAGACGCCGGCUUCCUCCGACCAACGGAGGCUUGAUUGCCACGAGAGGAGGACCUCCGCGCGAAGGCCUCCCCUUCGCGACGGAGGUCCCCGAGGCCAGUCGCGGCCCCCCGACGACAGCACGGCGAGAGGCCUGCGACGACCCUUCAAAGUAACCCCGCGGCCCCCGCUCAACAAGAGCCGCCACUGUGAAGCAGCGGCCGAGACAAGACACCGAGGACCGGACGCACGGCCCGGAGCUGCCCGCGGGGUCCAGCGGACGCGCACAACGAAACCAAGGCGACGAUAACGACGCCUGCUGGCUGGCAGCGCCCGAGGCUGCCUCGUGACGAGAACGUGCCAAAGAGGGGCCUCCCCUCCCAACCCCCUGGUGUCUGUACAUAGGCAAUCUCUUCCCGUAGUCUUCCCACAGAGUCGUCCACCCGAGUUCAGUAUUGAGUGUCGUGCAGCCGAGGCCGCGGCGGCCAUACCGCGCCAGUGCCAUGCCGCUUAGGAGGGAGGAAGGAGCGGCAUCGUACGCUCACAUUUGGCGCGCUCCGUCGUGCAUGUUGUCACGGUGGUCAGACUACGCGUCACUGAACGGAUAUAAAGUCAAAGAGGCAAAAUUGCCGAGCCGGUCGAGGUGGUUCUUCACUCAAGAAGCAGGACGUAGUGGCUUGCCACGCUUUUAUGCUGAAGGGAGGUACCGCGAAAGUACCAGUAGUGCGCCGACGUAGCCGCUGGAAGGCAUUAUAUAAGAGCUAGUAUAGAAGAC